GAUACAGAAAUUGAGACUCAUUAAGGUGUAGUAGAGGGCAGUCGAAAUCAUGAGCACGAUGAGAUCCUAAUCGAUCAGGUCUCUCAUUGACCCAGCUCCAACUGGCCUAAGCAAUAAGGGAGUCUUUUGGCUCAAGCCAUUGAAAAGAAUGGAUCAAGCUUCUUCAGGAACAGCUAAAUAAAAGGGCCAAAAGAUAUUGGGAACCUGUGCUUCACCUCUAGGCUGAGCUCUCCCCAUGCCUCUCUUAGUGGCAAAAUGGAUUUCCAUAGCUCCAAACUUAAGUCCCAGUAGCUUAGCAACUCUCGUAGGAGCAUGUCUUUUUCUCUGAGAUUUGCAGUAAAAUUUCCAGAACUGACUUUAGCUGAUUGGCUUGGAUCAUGUGCUUAUCCUGAAACCCAAAGGCCUCGUGAUCCACGAGAUUGGAGAUGGAUAAAUGCCCUGACUCACACAAGGAUGUUUGAGGCUGAGGCUACUGGAUGGAGUUGGAAAAAAUCAUUGUGGAAGGGCAAGUUCUGGCCUAACCAGCCUUUGUCCCCAUCUCUACCCCAGAUCUAACCAAAUUAACAUCAGCUCCCAGAUGGCCUUUGUUAAGGUCUUCAUCACCGUCUUUGUCAAUUCCAUCUUCCAGUUCAGAAAAAUAUGUCAAUGGAAAGGCCUCUAGUUCCGUGAUCACCCCCCACUCCUCCCUGAUACUCUUACAUACCCUUUCUCUGUAGUUGGCCCAUCCUUGUCCAGGAGAGAGAAAAGGAUCUUAGCUCCCUGACCAGGGAUUGAACCUGGGCCAUGGCAGUGAAAGCGUCAACUCCUAGCCACUGGACCGCCAGGGAAUUCCCGGAACCGAAGUUUUCAUUUUAAUUAAUUAAAAUAGCCACAUGUGCCUAAUGACUACUGUAUUGGUGUAAGAGGUGCCUGUAGGCAACUAGGUGGAGCUGUCCAGCAGAGAUGGCUCUACAGCCUCAGCUGCACAAGAUAAUAAAGCAGAAGCCCCAGAAGUUCCAGUGACUCACCUUUAUUUUUUAAAUGAACGUGAAUACAGAAUUUGCCUUCCAUCGAAGACAUCGAGAAACUUAAGCCCAACACAGUGCUUAAGUGAACGCUCAACUGAAAUUAUUCAACAAAUUCUUCUUUCAACAAAUACUUCUUCACCUAAGCAUUAGGCACUGUUCCUAGAGUGAAAAAUAAGUUCUUACUGUCAGGAGCUGAUGAGACAGAAAAAAAAGAAAAUCAAAAAACCAAACCCCCAAAA